AGACUUCACCUAUUAAAAUUUCAAAACCGGCCAAAAUGUCAUUGAUCGCUUGGUAAGUUCCGGUUAUCACAGCCACGAUACCGAUUAAUAUAAUUACAUUCAAUUUUGUUCGACAUUAAAAUGUUGGUGGUCAAAAUGUAAAAAUACUGAAAUAUCAAGACCCUCUGUUGCGUUUGACACUUGCAAAUAGGGGUUUUGGAAUUUUCCCUCUACUAGUCGUCGUCGCCGCCGCCGCCGUUCACAUUUAUCACCGGUCGCAGAGUACUGGCCCGAAAAUUUCCGGUAAGUAUCUUCCUUACUUAAAUCGACUGCCCAAAAGUACGGAUGUUGAAGAAUGAUAGAGGAUUCGGAUCUAAGAUGUAACAGUUUUUAAGACUAGUUAGUUAAUCAAUAGUCGAGGAGAAGGUCAAUGAGUUUUUUACUUUUUUUUUCUGACCGUGAUGCAUUUGAUUAUCAUUUGAAUGCUUUAUGUUUGAGAUGCUCUCUCUCUCUCUCUGUUGCUUGCAGGUUUCUGAAGAAAUGAAUUUUUUAAACUCAGCAGCAUCCUUAUGCAGGAGAGUGAGUCUGAGGGAACUUAUCACCGAGGUUCCUGCUUACGGUGGCAGUGGCAUCUCCGGUAUAUAAAUACCCUUGUCUUUUGAAAUGUCUGUGUCUGUUUCAUCUCUUGUCUGGCUAACUCACUUGUGUUCUUGUUCUUGUUUAAAGAUUGUUCUUCAAGUGGGUUGAGUUUGGUGUUAAAGCGUUGGGCUACUAAGAAAACCGCCGGUUCCACCAAGAACGGACGUGACUCUAAACCCAAGAAUCUCGGCGUCAAGAAGUUCGGAGGAGAGGUAACGUGUUACCACAAUGAGCUCUUAGGGAUGCAGAGAAUCAAAUCAGUAUGUGUGUGUGUGUGUGUUUGGUUUUGCAGAAUGUUAUACCGGGAAACAUAAUAGUCCGUCAACGUGGAACUCGGUUUCAUCCGGGAGACUAUGUCGGGAUCGGGAAGGACCAUACUCUGUUUGCGUUGAAGGAAGGACGAGUCAGGUUCGAGAAAAACAAGAUCACUGGACGGAAGUGGAUUCAUGUUGAUCCUAAGGGAGGUCAUGUUCUUCACCCUAUCUACACUAAAGCUGCUGCCGCCAAGUCGACUAAGGUGGAGACAGCUUCUUCGUCGUGAAAAGAGAUUGUAUCAACAAUUUAAAGGUGUCUUCUUUUGUUAGAUAACAUCUUCUGUUGACUAGAAGAUGGUGGUGGUAUUUUAGAACAGCAAACACUCAAUUCAAUAACACCUGCUGUUUUUGUCUGAAUACUAAUCAUGUGGGUUGUUUACGCCAAGGAACAAGUUCAAUUCGUCAAAAUAUUAUAUCAAAUAUUUUGUUCUCAAGUACAAUUUAGCCAAUACAUUUUAGCAUCAGGCUUUUGCAAUAUAAGUACGAGUCCGCGACUGUAUGUAUAUCGAAAAUCAGUACCAUAAUAUCUAAUCGCUUUCAGUUUCAGUAGUAAUCAUAUUUGAGUAUGACGACCCAGCUCUGUUUUUUUUUUGGCAUAAUGUGAUUUAAGAGCCAACUUGUUUAAGCAAUUAAAGCAGUUUCCUCCAAUUCUUCUCAACUUGUCACGCACAUCAACAUAUGUUCUUGAAUUAUUUCUCUGCUAUUUUACAUUUUCAUCAUUGCAAAUUAAAAUUUAAAGUAUAAAUUAUUUCGUUUGGCAUGAAAUUAUAAUAUGUCAUUGUUCAAAUCUGGAGACUAUUCCAAACAAAUAAUUACGAAUACGGCCCAUACAUUCACUGUACAUGCAUUUGGGCACAUACAUUGUAGCGUAUGUGUAUAAUAAAUUAAUAAUAUACAUUUAUAUAUAGUAGUACAUUUACGAUAAUAAUUGAAAGGUAGCAAAAAGAUUAAUACUGUAUUGAUCUAAAUUUUAGUAUAUUUUAUAAUUGGUUGUCAACGUCAUGUAGAUUCAAAUUUAGCAAAAAGAAAAAGACAUGACUCAUAUUAGAUGCUGUUCUACGAACCCUAUUUACUAGCCUAUAUUUAUUACACUUAUCUUUAUUAUUAACCCUAGGGUGGGGUCAACAAACCAUAGUUAAAUGUUUUUUUUUGCCAAAGAAAAAAAAGCCCAUAAUGAUUAUGAAUCUCAACCACACAACUUGGAUUUCUCAUUAUCAACAGUGCUCAACAUCUCAUCUCUUCUUCCUCCCAUGGGAGUAGAUUUACACAUAUAGUUUUAUUAAGUUCACUUUCUAGAUUAAUAUCGGUUCAAAUACUUAUCUCAAACUCCCAAAAAAAUUCAGAUUUACAUUAAGCAAACAGUUUGGUUUAGUGCACAAUCUUCAUUUUCUUUCCCUUCUCAUCUUUUCUUCUUCAACUUUAAACACCCUAAACAUCUUCAACUCAUGGAUGUAAUAGCUACUUCAGCUACUAUAGUAUCCCACCUGGAUUCGCAGCAACCCAUGACCCAAGCUCCGACCCGGAUACAGCCCGCGAAGCCUAUUUCUUUCUCCAACGGGAAACAUCACCACGACCACCAACAUCAUGCGUCUCAAGUGGUGGUUGCUGCUUAUAAAGAGUGUCUCAAGAACCACGCCGCUGGAAUCGGCGGUCACGCUUUAGACGGUUGCGGCGAGUUUAUACCGUCGCCGACGUUUAACACCAGCGACCCGACUUCACUAACAUGCGACGCCUGCGGUUGCCACCGUAACUUUCACCGCCGCGAAGACGAUCUAUCUGCUGUUUCAGCUGCUGUCCCGAGGAUAGAGUUUCGUCCUCAUAACCGUCACCAGCUUCCUCCGCCGCCGCUACCUCCGGUGGGAGUUGGCAGCCAAGACGACGAUGAUCCUGCUUCUCCUCCGCCGAUCUCGUCUUCUUAUAUGCUUCUUGCACUCUCCGGAAGAGCCACGGCGGCUCCGGUGUCGAGGAAGCGUUUUAGGACGAAGUUUAGUGAGUUUCAGAAGGGGAAGAUGUUCGAGUUCGCGGAGAGAGUUGGGUGGAGGAUGCCGAAAGCGGAUGACGUGGAUGUGGUGGAGUUUUGUCGGGAGAUUGGAGUUGAGAGGAGUGUUUUCAAAGUGUGGAUGCAUAACAACAAGACUCCAGGACGCGGCGGUGGAGCUAGAAGAGCCAACGGAGACGGAGGAGUAGGAGACGACCGUGAGAAUGUUCCGACAAACGGGUCGUUUGCUUCAACGUGAAGUAAGAUAAUGGCAACAUCGUCGUUUGUUUGGUAGCUAGUUCUUUUGGUUUCUCUUUGUUUGUUUCUGUUUUACGCUUAUUUUAUUUUUAGUCAACGGGUCAGAUCUGUGUGUUCUGUUCACAUGAAACUGUCUUGUGUUUUUUCUUAAUAGUUUACUAUUGUUAGAGUGGUGAUAUGAGAGGUGUAGCUUUCGACCGAAUACGAGAAAGAUAAAAGAUUAACCUCUAAAUUCUAAAAUUUUAAUAACAACAUGAUAUCCAUGAAACCAGAUGUAUUUAUUUUAGUUUAUAGAUUACCUUGUGCUGUUUAUAGAUUAUUUUGGUGUUUUUUUUCUCGUCAUUUGGAAGAGAGCUGCAAUUUACAACCAAAGCAUACAAAUCUUACAACAUUUAAAACACAAUCACUUGCUCCAGAAAAACUACAGCAAAUAAAAAACUUACAUACAGAGUUUUAAAUUUUCUCAUCACCACACCAGCAGCCACAUCAUAGUCCCCCACUAUCACAGAGUGGUAACGUACCACAGCAAGAUGGUCACGCCUUUAAAUCCACAAACAAUGUUGGGUUUGGGUUACAGACUUACAGUAGAUACAUCACUCUAAAUCAAGCAAAAAAGCCCAAUAAAUAUAUACGAGUAAAACAGGCCCAUAUAGUCAGAAAAGCCCAGUAAAGACCUUAAGCUUUAGGGUUUUUAAGCACCCUUAUAAAGCCGUAUGUAAUUUUUCACCUCCAUUUCUCUCUUCGUGCCUUAGCUUCUCACACCGCCGGUUGUAAUCACAGAGGAGGCGACAACAUGGUGCACGUUUGCUACUACCGCAACUGUAAGCCUCCCCUUCCCUCUGUAGUUCUCAUUGUUGAUUCGAUCAUCGUACUGUGUUCUAUGUUCGAACUUACUGAUAGAUUGUUAAUUACCGUAUGUUUCUGUCAUUGUGUUUGCGAUUAGAUUAGUUAAAGAAUCACAGAUCCGUUUAUAAAAUGUAUUGUGUUGUUGCUGAGAGUUUUGUUUUGUUUUUUUGGAAUGUGUGUUUGUGUAAUAGAUGGGAAAACAUUCAAGGGCCCACGUCGUCCUUUCGAGAAGGAGCGUCUCGACUCCGAGCUGAAGCUAGUUGGUGAGUACGGUCUCCGUAACAAGCGUGAGCUCUGGAGAGUGCAGUACUCUCUCAGCCGUAUCCGUAACGCGGCUAGAGAUCUUCUGACUCUCGACGAGAAGAAUCCCAAGAGGAUCUUCGAAGGGGAGGCACUCCUCCGUAAGAUGAACCGUUACGGUCUUCUUGAUGAGAGCCAGAACAAGCUUGAUUACGUCUUGGCGUUGACCGUUGAGAAUUUCCUUGAGCGUAGGCUUCAGACUAUUGUGUUCAAGUCUGGUAUGGCUAAGUCUAUCCAUCACUCCCGUGUCCUCAUCAGGCAGAGGCAUAUCAGGUACUUGUCUUGUUCAGUUCUAAGUUUGUUACUUUUCAGUACUAGCAUCGUGUCUUAAUCUUGGUGGUUUUGGUUCGGUAGGGUUGGGAAGCAGUUGGUGAACAUUCCUUCGUUCAUGGUGAGACUUGACUCUCAGAAGCACAUUGACUUUGCUCUGACCAGUCCCUUCGGUGGUGGACGUCCCGGAAGAGUGAAGAGAAGAAAUGAGAAGUCUGCCUCCAAGAAAGCUUCUGGUGGUGAUGCAGAUGGUGAUGACGAAGAGUAAAUCAAACUCUCACCUGUUUUAGCUAUUAUGAAGCGAUCUGCGUUUUGAUACAAUGUAGUCUUGUUCUUUUUCGGUGGAUUGUUUUGUGUUUACUUUCGCUUUCUCUUAAGAAUGUCGAACUUCUGCUUAUUUAUUUGUUACAAACGUCAUCCCUUUAAAAGUUUUGUCUUAUAACUAAGUCUCUUUUAUGCUGGGAUCCAAAAUAAAUCAGAUAGUUCUAUGAUAUCUUAAUGGCAUAUCUAAGGCUGGGCAAAAAACUUAGAAUCCGAAGAACCGAACAUUAUUAGAAAAAUAGUAUUAAAUCGUAUUGAAAUUGAUUAAUUAUUUGAAUUGGUUUAAAAUUUUGGUAUCUAAAAAACCGAGUUCAAUCGAACCAAAAUAUUUUGAGUAUCCGAAUAUAUAUAAAUAGAUUUAUAUAUCUAAAUAUAUUAAGUAUUUUUAGAUUUAUUAUAUUAAAAUACAUUCAAAAUAUAUAAGAUAUUUUUAAAUUAUCUAAAAUACUUGAAAUAUAUACAAAUAGUCAAAAUAUACUCAAAACACCAAAAAACAAUUCAAAUAUCUAUUAAUUUUUAAUCUAAAUAUUCAAAUGUAUAUAACAAUUUUUUUUUUUUUAACAUUCAAAUGGUUAUAUGAACCCAAACCAAAAUCAUAAAGAUCUGAACUAGACCUGAACCAAAAUUUAAAAAUACAUGAAUAGAGCUGAAAUUUUCUCUAAAAUCUGAAACUCAAAUAGACCCGAAUUGAAUCCGAAUAGAUAUCCGAACGCCACCCAGCGUAUCCUAAGAUAUAUCUCUUGGGACUAAAGGCUUCCUUAUUGAGCUAUUUGGCCCAUAUCCAUUGUACUAUUAGAGUUGACUGGAUUUGGGCUUUAAAUUUUUAAUUCAUUUAAAGCCGAGUUUACUAUUCUUAAAAAUCUUAGUGAUAUCGCCGGCCGGUAUUAUAUAAAUACACUUGUUUAACACUGAGCAUAUUGUCUUAACACACGUGGUACAUGCGACCCACGUGGAAACCAUCUAACCAUAGUAAAACAAUUGUAAGUACCAUUAAAUUUGUUUUAAUACUUCAAGAUUCAUGCAAUGGUCGGUUAUUCCGACACGUAAAUGAAAAUAGUGGUAUCAUUUAGCCUUCGAUGUGAGCCAGGAGACAACCAAAUCAAUCCCAUCUUUACACAUAUUAAACAUUCGAGUAUCGUCUCUCAUUUUAAUAUACUUUAUUACACUAUACUUGAAUAUCUGCCGAUGGACUGAGUACCUUUUUAUUACCAAUCAUUCGACCAUUAUAAUUUUUACUCUUAUCAAUAUUAAGAAAACUAUACGUACAUCACCACAAGUUUCGAAUACAACAACAAAUCUUCAUAAAUUAAUAAUCCAAAAGUAAAAUUCAAAAUCUUCCGGUUUGAUUCCAUCUAUGCAGGAACAAGUCUACUUAACUAGUUUUUUUCAGAAAUCUAUUUACAACCAAACUCAAUUUAACGAUAUGAGAUGAAAAUAUCUGGUAUUAAUAAAUAAAAUAUCAGAACUAACCUCCAUCUGUACCUUAGAGGAACAUUGAGCUUAGAACAUGUUGUAGUUCAUUAUAACAAAAUCUAAAGAGAUUUUUUUGGGGAUGACAUGGCAAUAACCUUUGGAAGUUAUCGAACUAGCGUUUCGGAAAAUGCCGAACAAAACGGCGCCUGAUUAGGUCGUUUUCAGAUCCGAUUUCCUCUUCUUCCACACGCCUCGUCUCAAUCGGUCAAACAACACAUAGAGAGAUCCGGACCACCCGGUCCAUACCAUUUCUCUUACCGACGAGCUCAUCUAAUUCUCCACGUGUCAAAACUUCCACGGUGUAAAUUUCUCGUGACGUCAUCAAUACCGACACGUCAACACUAACUGUUUUCUUUCCAUCCCGUUAACAAGCUUAUCUUCGGUAUAUAAAUAGUACCAGUAAGCUCUGUUUCACAUGUCUUUCACAGUUCACAAUAAAUUUCACAUUUCGAAUUUCGAAUCUUUCUUCCCCAAAUCUCUUCUUUUUUUUCGUUUUAUAUAUAUAGAGGAUGAGUAUGAGAGGAGAAGCUGAAGCUUGGCCGGAGAUGGAGGCGAUAGCUAGGAAGAUGGUGGAGGAAGUUGACACAGAGAGCAGCGGAUCGUCCGAAGCUGAGACUGAGUCUCCAAGAUCCGUUGGACGCUGGACUGCUAAGGAGAGAGUGCAUAGCCAGGUUUUAAAGAUCAGAGAGGAGGAUCUUUGCGUUCUCGAGAAUCGUCGAUAUCUUCAUCGUCCACAUGGUCUCGGUUUCUUCUUGAUCUCGAGGCCGAACUUGCCGUGUUCGCCUCUCAGUGGCAAAGUGAAAUCCCUUAACGCGAUUCAUUGAUAUGACUCUCCCAUCGAUCAAAGGUUCGUCUCUAUGCGUCUGAUUAUGUGUGUAGGUUAUAAAUAUAUUCUUUAAAUCAUUAAUUAACUUUGGUUAAUCGUUUUGGUUUUGUGCAGGUGUUCUGUCCUAAUGCGUUUUCUUUUUAAUUUCUCUGUUUUUUCUUUCUUGUUAGUUGUGUUACUGGAAGAACUCUUUAGAGAGAGAGCCUUUCUCUUGUCAUAAUGUCAUGUGUAUAUAAACCGUGAAUGUAUAUAUGAGUUCAUGAAACUUUAUGCUAGACUUUUGUUUACAUAUUUUUCUCUAUACGCCUGUAAUUAUCAACUAUGUUCAUACAUAUCAUGUGUUAUAUCGGCCAAAAAGAAAUGACUAAGCCCUCUGAAAAUUAAGAUACAAAUUAGGGCCACCUACUAGAGUUUGAAUUCAAAAAAAUACUUUUAGUUGAAGAUAAGAUCGACUAAUGCGAAGAAGCUAUUUACUAAUAAUAAAAAGACUUUAUACUCAAGUCAUAAAAUAUUUAUUAUAGUUUUAUUCUAUUUCCCAUUUCAAUACGUUUACUUCAUACAUGAUUCUUCAGGAAAAUACACAAACAAUUUUUUACAAAUAAUCACAAUUUCAUGAGAAUAUCUCGACUUAGUUAACCAUUCUGCACUUCUUCCGAACUUCCCCGGCCCGACCGGUCAAAACCCCAAUCCGACCCAUCUUCACCAUAGAGACACCAAAGUCCUUAAAGAAAGUAGAUCCAUAGCUUUUUGUUUGCUUGAGAACGUAAGACUUAGUUUCUUGGUUGUCCAAAAGAGCUGCGUCAGAUUGAAAGAACCCUCUUCUUUGAGACACAAGCUUGAAGUAGCUUUCAUCGAAUGUUUUGAAGCUUCCUGGAUCCAUUUCUAGAGCCGUCGUGGUAUCGGUAGGCUUGCAUCUUCCUCUGAGGUUGGCUGCGUAUUCCGUGUCUAGGUUCGGGUCGCUGUCUCCUUUUCCGGUGAAAUUGUAGAGUCGGUUUGUGAUCAGAGGACAAUGUCCGUUGCCAACCGUGUGUCCACCUAUCAACAUGUAAAUACAUACAUGUUCAGCAUAAUUUUUAUUUUUUGUUAUGGAAUAGUUUUAACCGUAAGACUUAGUUUGGUUGUCUAUCAGAACUAUCUAUUUUAGUCUAAUAGAGUUGACCUCAACUGAACUUGGUAAAUAUUUUAUACUGUAGCUAGUUUUUCUAUUUUCAGGUCAACUCUAUUAUAACUUGGUUAAUUGAACUUGGUAACACAAUAUUCUUUUUGUUUGUUCAGAAAAAUGGACUGUUAAUUAUUUGAUACGCUAUUCUAACAAUCUAACUUCUGAUAUAUGUAAGAGAAAGGAACGCUCCCAAGCACUAAAAUCGAGGCAACCCUCAGAUCUGUAUCUUCCGGCGCCGGUGACGCCUUUUCUCGCCGGCGUCGGGACUGUCCAUCAUCUCUCUCCCUCUACUUCACUUUCAAGUUCUUCUUUCUUACUGUUAUGAUGUCCACUCUUGUAUCAUCUGUUCAUCGUUUGGCGCCGCCACCCUCUGUGCAGAUCUUCGUGGUCUCAGGGCCUUGGCUCGAGCCAACCGGAACAGUACCUUUUUCCGGGGGCUCCCGGAAAGCCCGGUCAAGUAGCACCGCGGCUCAGUCCUAUACCAUCUCUUUCCACUCCUGUACUAUGCUCUUCAGCAGUCGCAGCCUCUGCUCAUCCGCACCAGUAAACAGACUCAAGCCUGACGAAAUGCUCCGACAAUCCCAUUCCUAUUCACAGCAAAACCUCUUCCUUACCUCUGCUCCCGAGAUGGCGUCCAGUGUCAGUGGGGUUCCACAUUUGAUCUGACGACCAGUUCAAAAAGCACGAGGUACAAUGAGGUUGUGCUUUCCUCUUCACGCCCUGAUCAUCAUUACUCCGUCAGACGUCUAUCUUGACUGUUACUCCGGCGAGAGCUUCUGUACUAUCAAAGGCUACAUCUCUUCUCCGAUCUGCCUUGCUGCGCAAACCGUUCACUCCGAUGAGACCAGAUUCAGCCCCGCCGCGCUCUUCAUCUCCUCCACCCGUAGCCUCGGCGGCGUACAAUUUGGUGACCCAAACCCUAGCAACAUAACUAUCUGGGCCUGGCCCAUUAAGGGUUAUAAAAAGGUCAGCCCACUUCUUAGAAGUCUGUCGGUUUCAAAGCCUUCACUUUCAAGUUCUUCUUUCUUACUGUUAUGAUGUCCACUCUUGUAUCAUCUGUUCAUCGUUUGGCGCCGCCACCCUCUGUGCAGAUCUUCGUGGUCUCAGGGCCUUGGCUCGAGCCAACCGGAACAGUACCUUUUUCCGGGGGCUCCCGGAAAGCCCGGUCAAGUAGCACCGCGGCUCAGUCCUAUACCAUCUCUUUCCACUCCUGUACUAUGCUCUUCAGCAGUCGCAGCCUCUGCUCAUCCGCACCAGUAAACAGACUCAAGCCUGACGAAAUGCUCCGACAAUCCCAUUCCUAUUCACAGCAAAACCUCUUCCUUACCUCUGCUCCCGAGAUGGCGUCCAGUGUCAGUGGGGUUCCACAUUUGAUCUGACGACCAGUUCAAAAAGCACGAGGUACAAUGAGGUUGUGCUUUCCUCUUCACGCCCUGAUCAUCAUUACUCCGUCAGACGUCUAUCUUGACUGUUACUCCGGCGAGAGCUUCUGUACUAUCAAAGGCUACAUCUCUUCUCCGAUCUGCCUUGCUGCGCAAACCGUUCACUCCGAUGAGACCAGCUUCAGCCCCGCCGCGCUCUUCAUCUCCUCCACACGUAGCCUCGGCGGCGUACAAUUUGGUGACCCAAACCCUAGCAACAUAACUAUCUGGGCCUGGCCCAUUAAGGGUUAUAAAAAGGUCAGCCCACUUCUUAGAAGUCUGUCGGUUUCAAAGCCUACAUUUGUGUGGGGGAGUUUGGUCAUUUGGUCCAACUUGCUAAUAUUUUUCGGUGGGUUCACUGAAAAUAUUACCGAAACUGUUGAUAUGCAUACAACGCCUUAUCUCUCUUAUAAGAAGAGUUUUCGAAGUUUCUAUUUACCGGUGGAUUCAUCGGGACAAUCUACACCACUUUCAUCACUAUCAUCCUUCUCUCAGGAGAUGCGAGCCGUAUUACCCCAUGCCUCAGUUAUGAGAAAUGUUUUCCCCCCAAACACUAAAUGGAGGUGUGUAUAUUUAUCUAUAGCCGUUUGUUCAUCUUGUGUAGCGGUCCGUUCGGGGUCUGAAGAUGCAACGGAUAUCGUUUUGACGAUAUUCCGAGGUGCGGAUUGGAUCUUAACGUCACGAUACAAAGUGACUAAAUUUCAAGUCUCUAGCACUGCUGUGAGUCUUGCUCCGACGCAUUCGAGCCAUGCUUCGAGUUCGCUGUCAUUCUAUCUUAGAGGUUUCUCUACUUUUAGCUUGUAUGCUUUAUUACUUGUUGUUAGAGUUUGGUUAAACUCCUUCCUUAUUUGUAGUUUGAAUGUUUGAGUAUUAAUGAAAGUUGUGUUUCAAAAAAAACUUCUGAUAUAUGUUAUGAAUUUAUUGAUUAUAUAACAUACCUGAAAGCACAACGAGGUCUUUCUUGUCGAGGCCUUUGGAACGAAAUUGGGUGAUAAGGCUAGUGAUAUUAUCAAAUGGUGAUGGUAAGUUCGCUCUGGCUUCAUUGAUGUUUGUAACCCGGCCGUCUCUUCUUCCCGUUUCAACUCCCCAUGACGGUCCAUUGAGCUGAAAAUAUAUUAAUGAUUGGGAUAUCAUAUUAGAAAUAUUACUAUAUUACAAUUUUUGGAGUAUAUUUAUUUUGAGAUCAGUCAUAAAUCUGCGACUAAAUUUGUAUCCAAACCUAAUUUCUAGAGUUUAAAAUCACCAUGUGAACUUCGUAACAGACAUAUAGAUUUCGUGAACCCAACCAAAAUAAAAAAAUAUACUAGAUAACUAUAUGUCACUUAAUAUUUAGAUAUAAAUUGAUACUAACCGCAACCACUGCGUCUCUAGCGACAAGGGCCAAUACAUCAGAGCAAGAAACAACGCCUGGACACUCCUUUUCUACAGCUUCCUUGACAUUAUCUAUGAUCUCAAACCCUCGAAGGCUGAGAUUAGGAGGCGCAUUCUUUUCGUCUUCUUCUGACUCUCGACGAGAAGAAUCCCAAGAGGAUCUUCGAAGGGGAGGCACUCCUCCGUAAGAUGAACCGUUACGGUCUUCUUGAUGAGAGCCAGAACAAGCUUGAUUACGUCUUGGCGUUGACCGUUGAGAAUUUCCUUGAGCGUAGGCUUCAGACUAUUGUGUUCAAGUCUGGUAUGGCUAAGUCUAUCCAUCACUCCCGUGUCCUCAUCAGGCAGAGGCAUAUCAGGUACUUGUCUUGUUCAGUUCUAAGUUUGUUACUUUUCAGUACUAGCAUCGUGUCUUAAUCUUGGUGGUUUUGGUUCGGUAGGGUUGGGAAGCAGUUGGUGAACAUUCCUUCGUUCAUGGUGAGACUUGACUCUCAGAAGCACAUUGACUUUGCUCUGACCAGUCCCUUCGGUGGUGGACGUCCCGGAAGAGUGAAGAGAAGAAAUGAGAAGUCUGCCUCCAAGAAAGCUUCUGGUGGUGAUGCAGAUGGUGAUGACGAAGAGUAAAUCAAACUCUCACCUGUUUUAGCUAUUAUGAAGCGAUCUGCGUUUUGAUACAAUGUAGUCUUGUUCUUUUUCGGUGGAUUGUUUUGUGUUUACUUUCGCUUUCUCUUAAGAAUGUCGAACUUCUGCUUAUUUAUUUGUUACAAACGUCAUCCCUUUAAAAGUUUUGUCUUAUAACUAAGUCUCUUUUAUGCUGGGAUCCAAAAUAAAUCAGAUAGUUCUAUGAUAUCUUAAUGGCAU
rnacentral:lncRNA from 1 species